GCCCAGUGACUUUCUUAAACGGCCGCGGUAUCCUAACCGUGCAAAGGUAGCAUAAUCACUUGUCCCCUAAAUAGGGACUAGUAUGAACGGUCAAAUGAGGACUUAACUGUCUCUUACAUUUAACCAAUAAAACUGAUCUCUCAGUUAAAAAGCUGGGAUACAAACAUAAGACGAGAAGACCCUGUGGAGCUUCAAACCAUAACCCAACCCUAAUGAAGUAAGGUUUUUAGUUGGGGCGACUUCGGAGUACAAAAAAACCUCCGACACAAACUUUAUUAAGACCAACACGUCAACAUAUUUUCUUCCUGACCCGGUAUUUAUUAAAAUAUCCGAUUAAUGAACCAAGUUACCCCAGGGAUAACAGCGCCAUCCCCUUCUAGAGUCCUUAUCGACAAGGGGGUUUACGACCUCGAUGUUGGAUCAGGACACCCAAAUAGUGCAGCCGCUAUUAAAGGUUCGUUUGUUCAACGAUUAAUAGUCCUACGUGAUCUGAGUUUCAG
rnacentral:rRNA from 1 species